CGUGGGGAACCUGCCCCAUAGUCUGGGAUACCACUUGGAAACAGGUGCUAAUACCGGAUAAGAAAGCAGAUCGCAUGAUCAGCUUUUAAAAGGCGGCGUAAGCUGUCGCUAUGGGAUGGCCCCGCGGUGCAUUAGCUAGUUGGUAAGGUGAAGGCUUACCAAGGCGAUGAUGCAUAGCCGAGUUGAGAGACUGAUCGGCCACAUUGGGACUGAGACACGGCCCAAACUCCUACGGGAGGCAGCAGCU
rnacentral:rRNA from 1 species